rnacentral:rRNA from 1 species
UACACUCCUACGGGAGGCGGCAGUGGGGAAUAUUGGACAAUGGGCGCAAGCCUGAUCCAGCCAUGCCGCGUGAGUGAUGAAGGCCCUAGGGUUGUAAAGCUCUUUCACCGGUGAAGAUAAUGACGGUAACCGGAGAAGAAGCCCCGGCUAACUUCGUGCCAGCAGCAGCGGUAAUACGAAGGGGGCUAGCGUUGUUCGGAUUUACUGGGCGUAAAGCGCACGUAGGCGGACUAUUAAGUCAGGGGUGAAAUCCCGGGGCUCAACCCCGGAACUGCCUUUGAUACUGGUAGUCUUGAGUUCGGGAGAGGUGAGUGGAAUUCCGAGUGUAGAGGUGAAAUUCGUAGAUAUUCGGAGGAACACCAGUGGCGAAGGCGGCUCACUGGCUCGAUACUGACGCUGAGGUGCGAAAGCGUGGGGAGCAAACAGGAUUAGAUACCCGUGUAGUCCCAUGA